GGCCGGUUAGCUCAGUUGGUGAGAGCUCUCGCACGGAACGCGAGAGGCUGCGGGUUCGAGUCCCGCAUCGGUCA